rnacentral:rRNA from 1 species
AUGAACGCUGGCGGCGUGCCUCAUCCCUGCCAGUCGAGCGAACAGACGAGGAGCUUGCUCCUCUGACGUUAGCGGCGGACGGGUGAGUAACACGUGGAUAACCUACCUAUAAGACUGGGAUAACUUCGGGAAACCGGAGCUAAUACCGGAUAACAUGUUGAACCGCAUGGUUCAACAGUGAAAGACGGUCUUGCUGUCACUUAUAGAUGGAUCCGCGCCGCAUUAGCUAGUUGGUAAGGUAACGGCUUACCAAGGCAACGAUGCGUAGCCGACCUGAGAGGGUGAUCGGCCACACUGGAACUGAGACACGGUCCAGACUCCUACGGGAGGCAGCAGUAGGGAAUCUUCCGCAAUGGGCGAAAGCCUGACGGAGCAACGCCGCGUGAGUGAAGAAGGUCUUCGGAUCGUAAAACUCUGUUAUUAGGGAAGAACAAAUGUGUAAGUAACUAUGCACGUCUUGACGGUACCUAAUCAGAAAGCCACGGCUAACUACGUG